rnacentral:rRNA from 1 species
UGGUGCAUGGUUGUCGUCAGCUCGUGUCGUGAGAUGUUGGUAAGUCCCGCAACGAGCGCAACCCCUAUGUUAGUUGCCAUCAUUCAGUUGGGCACUCUAGCGAGACUGCCGGUAAUAAACCGGAGGAAGGUGGGGAUGACGUCAAAUCAUCAUGCCCCUUAUGACCUGGGCUACACACGUGCUACAAUGGUUGGUACAACGAGUUGCGAGUCGGUGACGGCGAGCUAAUCUCUUAAAGCCAAUCUCAGUUCGGAUUGUAGGCUGCAACUCGCCUACAUGAAGUCGGAAUCGCUAGUAAUCGCGGAUCAGCACGCCGCGGUGAAUACGUUCCCGGGCCUU